CUACGGGGUGUUGCAGUGAGGAAUAUUGCACAAUGGGGGGAACCCUGAUGCAGCAACGCCGCGUGGAGGAUGACGCAUUUCGGUGUGUAAACUCCUUUUAUAUGUCAAGAAAAUGACGGUGGCAUAUGAAUAAGCACCGGCUAACUCCGUGCCAGCAGCCGCGGUAAUACGGAGGGUGCAAGCGUUACUCGGAAUCACUGGGCGUAAAGGACGCGUAGGCGGGCUUGUAAGUCAGGUGUGAAAUCCUACAGCUUAACUGUAGAACUGCACUUGAAACUACGAGCCUAGAGUAUGGGAGGGGGAGAUGGAAUUAGUGGUGUAGGGGUAAAAUCCGUAGAUAUCACUAGGAAUACCUAAAGCGAAGGCGAUCUCCUGGAACAUAACUGACGCUAAGGCGUGAAAGCGUGGGGAGCAAACAGGAUUAGAUACCCCCGUAGUC
rnacentral:rRNA from 1 species